UGCGUAGGCGGUUUAUUAAGUCAUAUCUGAAAGCUCUCGGCUUAACCGAGAAGGGUGAUAUGAAACUGGUAGACUUGAGUACGGCAGAGGUUAGUGGAAUUCAAUGUGUAGCGGUGGAAUGCGUAGAUAUAUUGAGGAACACCAGUGGCGAAGGCGGCUAACUGGACCGGAACUGACGCUGAGGCACGAAAGCGUGGGGAGCAAACAGGAUUAGAUACCCUGGUAGUCC
rnacentral:rRNA from 1 species